rnacentral:rRNA from 1 species
GAUGAACGCUAGCUACAGGCUUAACACAUGCAAGUCGAGGGACCGGCGCACGGGUGAGUAACGCGUAUCCAACCUACCCAAUACUCAGGCAUAACCCGUUGAAAGACGGACUAAUUCCUGCUGGUAUUGGAUGGGUAUGCGUCUGAUUAAUUUGGUGGUGAGGUAACGGCUCACCAAGACUUCGAUCAGGAGGGGUUCUGAGAGGAAGGUCCCCCACAUUGGAACUGAGACACGGUCCAAAAUGCUACGGGAGGCAGGAGUGAAGAAUAUUGGGAAAGCGAUGCAAAUCCUAACCAGCCGAGUAGCGUGCAGAAUCCCGGCCUAUGGGUUGUAAACUGCUUUUAUGUGAGGAUCUGUAUCGCAUGAAGAAGGACCGGCUAAUUCCGUGCCAGCAGCCGCGGUAAUUC